CCAGGGGGCAGAUGCUCAAUGCAGGAGCUGCCUCCUGAUGGUCAGUGUGCUCCCUCAGGGGAGCGCCUCUCAACCACAAGCUGGGCUCAUGGCUGGCGAGCACAGCAGCAGUGGCAGGAGCCUCUCCCGCCUCCAGUUGGACAUCCCCCG